UACGGGGGGGCAAGCGUUGUUCGGAAUUACUGGGCGUAAAGCGUGCGCAGGCGGCUUUGCAAGACAGAUGUGAAAUCCCCGGGCUUAACCUGGGAACUGCAUUUGUGACUGCAUGGCUAGAGUGCGGCAGAGGGGGAUGGAAUUCCGCGUGUAGCAGUGAAAUGCGUAGAUAUGCGGAGGAACACCGAUGGCGAAGGCAAUCCCUGGGCCUGCACUGACGCUCAUGCACGAAAGCGUGGGAGCAAACAGG
rnacentral:rRNA from 1 species